rnacentral:lncRNA from 1 species
CGGAAUGUGGCUCAAGUUGGGAGGCGUUACCUGCGGAGGGUUUGAGGCACGCCCAGGAGCGAGCCCACGGUCGGCCGACGCGGGGCCAGGGGCGGGCCCCAGGAUCCGGAGCUUCGGGCGGGGCCGAGUCUGGGUUUGGGGCCCGGGAGGCGGGGCCAGUUAGGGCGAGGGUCCCUGGGAUCGUCGGGUCAGGCCUUGGGCUAACGUAGACACUCUCGCAGUACCUCCGCCUUCAGGAAGGUCUUUUUAGCAGGGGCCUUACAGGUGCACGCUUCGGUCCUGGAGGCCUUAUCCUAACCUCUCCAUCAGCGCCACCCGUCUGGGGCCCGAAAGGAGGGAGCUUUCCCUCUGUCCUCCAGCCUUUGGACUGUCUCCAAACAAGCCAUUCGUUCACCAAAUACUUAUUAAGCACCUACCAUGUGCCUGACAAGGGAGAUGUAACGCUGUUGUUCCCCACCAGAACCAAAUGAGCGCAAGAUCUGACAAAGAAAAAAAAGGUUCAUCUUUUAUUCCCCCAAACACUUUCAUUUAAAUCAAGAGGAUGGGAUGUGGUUAUUGCUGUGUUUUUAGACAGAAUCAACGGUUUCUGUGUCUGAGAUGUUGCAUACACCCUCUCAGUCCCUCUAUCCUGAGAUGGAGUCACCUGAGGAUCCACAGCAAGUCCUAACCAGGGAUGGGUCUGGGUGAUUAAGGAAGGUUGGCUUCAGAACUGGGCCAGGGGCACUGCUUUGCUUUUGCUGUUUUGAUCAGCUCUCUGCCUGCAGGAGACAAGGAAAACCAAUGGGAACAGCCCAGUAAAGGCUCCAUUCCCCAUUUUACAGCUGGGGAAACUGAGUUACAGAGCUUUUCUGCACUGAGUCAUCAGGAGCAAAUGCUAGAUCAGAUAGGGUCUCUCUCUCUGCCACCCAGGCCAGAGUGCAGUUGACGCAGGGCAGGGGAGCCCCGAAGUGGAGCAUAGUGUGUCCGGAACUGGUGGGUUCUUGGUCUCACUGACUUCAAGAAUGAAGCCGUGGACCCUCACGAGACGGGGUCUUGUCUGCUGCUCAAGCU